GUGGGGAAUAUUGGACAAUGGGCGAAAGCCUGAUCCAGCCAUGCCGCGUGUGUGAAGAAGGUCUUCGGAUUGUAAAGCACUUUAAGUUGGGAGGAAGGGCAGUAAGUUAAUACCUUGCUGUUUUGACGUUACCGACAGAAUAAGCACCGGCUAACUUAGUGCCAGCAGCCGCGGUAAUACGAAGGGUGCAAGCGUUAAUCGGAAUUACUGGGCGUAAAGCGCGCGUAGGUGGUUUUGUAAGUUGGAGGUGAAAUCCCCGGGCUCAACCUGGGAACUGCCUCCAAAACUGCAUGACUAGAGUACGGUAGAGGGUAGUGGAAUUUCCUGUGUAGCGGUGAAAUGCGUAGAUAUAGGAAGGAACACCAGUGGCGAAGGCGACUACCUGGACUGAUACUGACACUGAGGUGCGAAAGCGUGGGGAGCAAACAGGAUUAGAUACCCCAGUAGUCC
rnacentral:rRNA from 1 species